UCAUCCCUCUCCGUCUCGUUAAACCCAGCCGCACCCCCUCACGUUUUCUUCUUCAGCCCGCGCUGCCACUGGCCUCCCCGACAAGCGACGGCGAGCUUCUCCCAGCGACGGCAGCGUCCGAAGGACUGUUCAGAGCCUUUCUCUCGGCGAUUCGUUAGCAACCAACGAACUUCCGCGAGCGGCGGCGGGUGCGUUUUCCUUCUGUCGUUCCUUUUCUUUUCUCCGGCGAUGCUUCAUCUUCUGCUUCAGAAACCCUUUUCAUGAACAAAAACUAUCUUCCCAAGAACAUGAACGGCGGCGGCGCUUUUCUCUCGAGUUGCCGUUAACUAUUGCUUUUGUUAUGGCUGUUUUCUCUGUCAGUGCAAAUAAUUAAUCGUAAUCAGCUUGAGGAAUUUGCGUCUCUUUGUAUCUUCUCUGUUUUGUAGUGAAGAUGGCGAAGAAGAAAACUUUGGCUCCUCCCAAAGGGGCAAAGAAGGGGAAGAAUUUUCCACUUAGUAAGGAUCCUUUCUUUAGUUCUGAAUCAAGGAAACGAAGGAAGAUUGUUGAUGAUGAGAUUGAGAGCGGCGAGUCAGACGAGGACAAUGGGUUCGUGGGCGCUGAGGAUGUGGAGUUUGAGGAAGAAACUGCUGACGAGAAAAGGAAGAGAGUAGCUAGCGAGUACUUGGAGAAAAUUCGGGAAAUUGCGAGGAGAGAAAAGGAGAGGGAGGAUAAAGAGAAGGAUGAGGAUGAGAGUGACGACGAAGGCGAAAAAGAUUCACUUGUUGCACAGAUUCUUCAGCAGGAGCAGCUCGAAGAUAGUGGAAGGGUUCGGAGAGAAAUUGCUUCACGGGUUCAGAAUCCAGUAGCUAGCGAUGAAUUUCAACUCUUGGUUAAGCACAGACAGUCUGUUACAGCUGUGGCUCUAUCCGAGGAUGAUUCGAAGGGGUUUUCAUCAUCUAAGGAUGGUACCAUCUUAUGCUGGGAUGUAGAUAGUGGUAAAGGGGAGAAGUACCAAUGGCCCAGUGAUGAAGCAUUGAGAUUGCAUGGUGCUAAGGAUCCCCAAGGUCGAGCUACUAGGCAUAGUAAAGUCACUUUGUCGUUAGCAGUCAGUUCUGAUGGUCGAUAUUUGGCAAGUGGAGGCUUAGACCGCCAUGUGCAUAUAUGGGAUACUCGUACAAGAGAGCAUAUUCAGGCAUUUCCUGGUCAUAGAGGACCUGUUUCGUGUUUGACUUUCAGGCAAGGGACCUCAGAACUUUUUUCUGGUUCAUAUGAUCGAACUGUCAAAAUAUGGAAUGUGGAGGACAGAGCUUAUAUAAAUACAUUAUUUGGUCACCAAAGCGAAGUAUUGACUAUUGAUUGCCUACGGAAAGAAAGAUUACUCACUGUUGGACGUGAUCGGAGUAUGCAAUUAUGGAAGGUUCCAGAGGAGUCCCGUUUAGUAUUUCGUGCGCCUGCAUCAUCCUUGGAAUGUUGCUGUUUUAUUAGCAAUGACGAGUUCUUAUCUGGAUCAUCCGACGGCAGUAUUGAGCUCUGGAUUGCAUUAAAAAAGAAGCCUGUUUAUAUUGUACGAAAUGCUCAUCCUUCUUCAUUGUCUUGCUCAAAUUUGGAGCUAAAGGAAAAUGGAGCCAUCCCCAAUGGUUGUAUGGGAAAUGGGGAUGCGAAUCAUAAUACCUCUCACAGUUCGUCGGCAUACUCUUGGGUAAGUUCAGUCUCAGUAUGUAGAAACAGUGACCUUGCUGCAUCGGGUGCCGGCAAUGGUUCUGUUCGUUUAUGGGCUCUCACAAGUGAUAAGAAAGAUGUUCGACCAUUAUAUGACCUCCCUCUGGUUGGGUUUGUGAACUCCAUGACUUUUGCCAAAUCUGGAAGGUUUGUGGUAGCUGGAGUUGGGCAGGAACCUCGACUAGGAAGGUGGGGGAGAAUCCCAGCUGCUCGGAACGGAGUUGCAGUUCAUCCUCUUAAGCUCUCGUGAGAUUGAACUGAAGAGUUCUAUCCCCAUCAAAUUUUGACUUCUCAGAGUUCUAAAGUAAAAUCGAAAAAGUUAAUGGGUUGCUACAAAUGGUGUCAGAGCCAGCCACCAGAGUGUCUAUCCAAGUAAGGCUAGACUUUCUUCAAAGUAGACAAAUUUGGUGUCAGAGCCAGUCACCCCAAAUUGUACGAGACACUGGUCAAAGUAAGGCUAGACCUUCUUCAGAGUAGACAAAUUUGGUGUCAGAGCUCCGGUCACCAAAUGGUACGAGACACUGGUCAAAGUAAAGCUAGACCUUCUACCAAUUUUAAAACCUUCAGAAGGAGCCU